AACGAACGCUGGCGGCAGGCUUAACACAUGCAAGUCGAACGCCCCGCAAGGGGAGUGGCAGACGGGUGAGUAACGCGUGGGAACGUACCUUUCGCUUCGGAAUAUUCCCGGGAAACUGGGAGCAAUGCCGAAUACGCCGUAUUGGGAAAGAUUUAUCGGCGAGAGAUCGGCCCGCGUUAGAUUAGGUAGUUGGCGGUGUAAUGGACCACCAAGCCUACGAUCUAUAGCUGGUCUGAGAGGAUGAUCAGCCACACUGGAACUGAGACACGGCCCAGACUCCUACGGGAGGCAGCAGUGGGGAAUCUUGGACAAGGGGCGCAAGCCUGAGCCAGCCAUGCCGCGUGAGUGAAGAAGGCCUUAGGGUUGUAAAACUCUUUCGCCGGAGAAGAUAAUGACGGUAUCCGGAGAAGAAGCCCCGGCUAACUUCGUGCCAGCCGCCGCCGUAACAC
rnacentral:rRNA from 1 species